rnacentral:rRNA from 1 species
AACGAACGCUGGCGGCAUGCCUAACACAUGCAAGUCGAACGAGACCUUCGGGUCUAGUGGCGCACGGGUGCGUAACGCGUGGGAACCUGCCCUUAGGUUCGGAAUAACUCCCCGAAAGGGGUGCUAAUACCGGAUAAUGUCUUCGGACCAAAGAUUUAUCGCCUUUGGAUGGGCCCGCGUUGGAUUAGCUAAUUGGUUGGGUAAAAGCCUACCAAGGCGACGAUCCAUAGCUGGUCUGAGAGGAUGAUCAGCCACACUGGGACUGAGACACGGCCCAGACUCCUACGGGAGGCAGCAGUGGGGAAUAUUGGACAAUGGGCGAAAGCCUGAUCCAGCAAUGCCGCGUGAGUGAUGAAGGCCUUAGGGUUGUAAAGCUCUUUUACCCGGGAUGAUAAUGACAGUACCGGGAGAAUAAGCUCCGGCUAACUCCGUG